CUGGCGUGACGCGAAACGCAGGGAUGCAAGGUCGAUCUUGGGAUGCGGAAUGUUUGGAUUCUGAAAGUCUGAACACACAACAGCUGAACCCCAGCUGGCUGUGCUGUAAGCCAGAGCUUCCAGUGGCUGGUGGCCAGUGUUGACUGGGAAAGCUUUCAGCCUCAGAGGGACUGUGAUUAACCCAGGAGCGGUCAAACUCGGCAGGAAGCCUCCAACAACCAGCUACUGCUAUUUAUCCACUUACCAAUGAAACAAAUUACUUUUAAAGCGAUCCUCAGUGCGGACACUAUAUCUGCUGUUCUUGCAGACCAAUAGAGUAUGGUUGUGAAAGGAGAGGCAGAAGUUAAGAAGGAAACCCUCCUGAGCUGCUCCAACAGGCUGUAAAAUAUGUUUCAAGUCAGUAACCAUGGAGACCCACUGAUGUGUGAGAGCAGCCUGAGGGGCACACAAAACCUUUUAUAAAGCACAGUAUAUCAUUGUUACAAACAUUAAGAACCUUAUAUCAUAUCAGUUUUAGAAUUUUUAAGCCAACAAUGACUUUUCCUAUAUAUUUAGCCCCAAAAACCCACAUUUAACACAGUUUUUAAUUCUUUACACUUUGCUCUUUCUUAGAUGCAGAAUAUGAAAUUCAGCUCUGCCGUCACUGAAUCCGGAUUUAUUAUUUAGUUUAAGCAUUUAAGACUGUCUAUCAAAUAUUUUAACAUGUUAGUAAAAAUCCUGUGAUAGAUUUUCAAGUAUGUUUUUAUUAAAACUUUGACACAGUUUUUUUUUCAACUUUCCUAAAAGCAUUGGUUCCUAAUAAUUACAACAAACUGAGUGUUGAUAUGUAAAGCAACAGAGUUAUUUGGACUUUUUCGUCCUUGAUAUGAUUCAUGCCUAAAAAGUGUUAGAUACAGCAUUUCCUGGACCACUGCCUGGUAAAUACGUUUCUAUAUGAAUUUGUAGACAGAGCUAACCCUAACGAGGUUACAGAACAAACACAUCCUGAAUUGUUCUCUUGUGUUUAGCUCUUACAAAAAGACAUGAACAAGUUGGAUAAAGAUUUUAACAAGUCAAUAUGCUGUAUCAUUAUGUAUGAAAUGUUUAAUGUGGAUGGCAUUGUUAUAUCGUUAUAAUGCAAUUAAAUGUGUGCCUUUU